GUGGAAACAUGCGGAUCCUGUUCAACCAACCCUCCAGAGAUUUCCAAAAAGGAACCGUAUCAGGCUGGUGACGUGGAUGCAUGGGGAUCCUUUUUAACCAACCCUCCUGAGCACAAAGUAAACACAGAUGGUAAGGGGAAAGAGCUCAACAGAAAACUAAAACAGAAGGACAUAGAGCCCCGCAGAAAAAGGAACACAAAUAAAAAUUCUGGUAAAUCACCACACCUACACAAGUCUUGAAACACCAAGCUAGUUAAGCUCAAAAGCACAACUGAAGCAUGGUCAAAAGUAAUGAUCUACACCACUGAAAGGCAAUAGGGUGACCAUGUUAUUCUUUAUGCAUGAUAUUUUGAGCAGACAUUAUCCAAUAUGUCAUCUGGCUUAAAUUACCACACACAUACCAUUUAACUGUGCCUUGUAUUAAAAUGAUAAACUUUCACACAGCCAAUGUUCAGAUGCUAGAAAAUCUAAUUUGGUGAUCAGUAAUGGGACUGUUUAUACUACUUUCUCUAUCCCAAUCUUAAUCUGAAAUACAUUCACAUAUUUAUAUUUUUUUCAAAAUAUCAAAGCACCACAAAACUAAUAAGCAAAGUAAUCAGAGUAUAUCUUUAAAUUUGGUUAAUUUUAAGAUAUUAACCAAAUUUAACAUCUAAAAUUUGAUUAAUCUCUGGUUUUAGGAAACCAGAGAUCUCAAUAAAUGGCCCUUUGCUGAUGCU